GGCUUUAUAGUCUAAAUAAGAUAUUAGGCUGCAAUCCUAAAGAUGUAGAAUUACUAAGGCUU
rnacentral:tRNA from 2 species